rnacentral:lncRNA from 1 species
GCGCGGCGGAGAGCGGGUUCUUCGCCGCGCGGCCCAUCAUCUCCCCGAUCGUCUCCUCCUUCGCGCCCACGUUGUCCUCCGGUUUGCGUAUCUCGUAGUCCCACUCCUUCGCGCCCUCGUCUCUGGGGAGGAGUAGACACAGCGGGUUUUCGUACACCUGCCCCGACGCGUCGAGCGGCGUCCUCGCGAGCCAGACGUUGUAGUACCUGUACGAGUACGCGCCGUCCUCCUCCUCCUCCGCGCCAAACGGCGCACUUCCCGGCAUCGCGGUCUCCAUCCACCCGGGCUGCUUGUAGUCGAUCGCGUCCGGGUCUCGGUGCAGGCGGCCCAGAGGGUUGUACUUGGACAUCGUGAAGUCCGUCUUCGGCCGGCGUUGCAUGAAAUCGAUGGCGCGGUCCUUCAUGUCGUCGCCUGCGGACGCGUAGAAAAGUGGUGACGUGGACGGAGGAGCGCGAUCGGACUGGUCAGUACGUGAUGACGUGGAGGUUUUUCGAUGACGUGUCGCGCGCGGAUUGGAUCGGUCGGUCGACGAACGAACGCACCGACGAACGCGACGCCGGAGAGAACCUCCCCGCCGAACUUCGGGUCGCACUCCUCCGGGAACGCCUCCUCGAGGAGCGACCGCCCAGCCUCGAACGCCUCCGGCCACAGCGAAUGGUGCCCCGCGUUCUUGUUCCGCACGCCGAUCGCGUCCCAGCCGUCCUCCAUGACGCGCAGCAACCUCAGGAGCUUCGGGUUGGACGGAUCGAUGAGAGACACGAAUCGCUCCGCGCCCGCGGCCGCGAUGGCGGCUCUCGCGCCGUCGUUCACCAUGAUGUCCACGUCGACCGCCGCGUCCUUGUACGGCACCGCGCCUCGGCGCGAGGUGUAGUCGCUCGCGCGCGAGCACGCGUCCGGGUUCGCGAGCGCGGGAGGGGGAAGCUCCGUCGUCGUCGUCGACGACGCCGCCGCGGCCGCGAUCGGUGCCUUUCGGAGAUUAUCACGACGAGCGCGAGCGAUCGUCGCGGUCCGCGCGCGGCGGACGCGCGUCGUCGCGUCUCCCGCGGGAGACGCGAGGCGCGUCGGGGCGAGGAGCGCGGUCGUCGCCAUCGUGGGUGAUCCCGCGCGCGCGAGAGAGAGGAAACGUCGACGAGCGGAGCGACGCGCGCGACGGGGUGUGGCGAGCGUUUAUUAUCCGCAAAAGAUACGCUCGUCGCAGAGAGCUGACCGCCAAUCCAUACAAAACAAGUUCAUCGGUCAGCUGAAAGGGAAAUCGAUCAAACGUUGAAACCGAGGGACGCGUGAAAAACGUUCGUGAACGCGCUCGCCUCGCCUCGGCGCGAGUCGCGUUUUCGACGCGAACGCGGCGUCGUCGAUCACUCACUUCACGCGCCGCCGGGCACGGAGGUGCGCCCGUCUCCCCUCUCGCGGACCCUCCCCCUCCCCCCUCGAUCGCGCUCGCGCGCCGCGUCGCCGCGUCGUCGCCCCGCCCUCGACGCGCGCGUCCUGACGCCCGCGCCCUUCCGCCCGUCCACCUCCGCCCCGCCCCCCGUCGCGUCGUAGUUCGCAGAGCGGAGAGGACGCGAAGAUGAUUUAUGACACGAACAGCACGCUGUUCCGGUCGUUCCUGAAGGCGUCCACGAAGACGGGCCACGUCGCCGGCGUCGGCGGCGUCGCCAAGGACAUCAAGGCCAAGGGGAGCGACGGGAAGUACCAGGGCGAGUGAGCCCCCGUGAGCGCGGCGGAGGCGGAGACGGGGACGGGAGCUGAGUUUUGAACGAAAGAGAAGUAACCCUACAGUACCCGACGCAGUACCUCGGACCUCCUCGGACCUCGCGAGAAACCCGAGGCGACGACGCGACGCCGCAGCCGCCGCCGGCGGCACUCCUCCUCGCACUCCGCCACGCCCUCGCCGUCGCGACGCGCCCUCUUCCCUCGCCCCCCCCCCCUCCUCCG